rnacentral:rRNA from 1 species
GAUGAACGCUGGCGGCGUGCCUAAUACAUGCAAGUCGAGCGAACGGACGAGAAGCUUGCUUCUCUGAUGUUAGCGGCGGACGGGUGAGUAACACGUGGAUAACCUACCUAUAAGACUGGGAUAACUUCGGGAAACCGGAGCUAAUACCGGAUAAUAUUUUGAACCGCAUGGUUCAAUAGUGAAAGACGGUCUUGCUGUCACUUAUAGAUGGAUCCGCGCUGCAUUAGCUAGUUGGUAAGGUAACGGCUUACCAAGGCAACGAUGCAUAGCCGACCUGAGAGGGUGAUCGGCCACACUAGAACUGAGACACGGUCCAGACUCCUACGGGAGGCAGCAGUAGGGAAUCUUCCGCAAUGGGCGAAAGCCUGACGGAGCAACGCCGCGUGAGUGAUGAAGGUCUUCGGAUCGUAAAACUCUGUUAUUAGGGAAGAACAUAUGUGUAAGUAACUGUGCACAUCUUGACGGUACCGAAUCAGAAAGCCACGGCUAACUACGUG